rnacentral:miRNA from 1 species
GAGGUAGUAGGUGGUAU